rnacentral:ncRNA from 1 species
UUUUUUGCGCCUAAAAUGUAUCGAGACUUAAGAAAUUUACCGAAGCGGCAAGUUUUAUUUAUAAUAAAACGGUAGCGGAACAUUCUGUAUGUUGAUAAAGAUAUGUUGUAAAAUAUAUUGAAGAUAUCAGAAAAGAAAAUGCUGGCAUUAGUAACAAAAAAUAAUGAAUAAGAAUCAUUAUCACCGUAAAUCCAAGGGUUUCUAUGUUAAAAUGUAUUUCAUAGAGUGAAACGGCCCAUAAGAAAGAUUUGACGAAAGCAAAUUUUGAUGGGAUAAUUUUUAAAUUAAAUUUUUUAAAAAAAGUGACAAAAAGUUUUACUUUUUCAGGAAAUAGCUUUUUUUAAAAAAAACCGUACCCUAAACCGACACAGGUGGAUAGGUCGAGUAGACUAAGGUGGAUGAGAGAAUUAUAUUGAAGGAACUCGGCAAAAUGACUCUGUAACUUCGGGAUAAAGAGUACCUAAAUAUUAUAUUUAGGUGUCACAAAAUAGGGGGUUGCGACUGUUUAAUAAAAACUUAGGACUCUGCUAAAUGGUAACAUGAUGUAUAGGGUCUGACACCUGCCCGGUGCUGGAAGAUUAAUAGGAGAUGUUUGCGCAUUGAAUGGAAGUCCCAGUAAACGGCGGCCGUAACUCUGACGGUCCUAAGGUAGCGAAAUUCCUUGUCGGGUAAGUUCCGACCUGCAUGAAUGGUGUAACGACAUCCCCGCUGUCUCCAAUAUAAACUCAGUGAAUUUGAAUUAUCCGUGAAGAUGCGGAUUCUCUAUAGUUAGACGGAAAGACCCCGUGAACCUUUACUACAUCUUUAUAUUGUUAUUUUAUCUAAUAUGUGUAGCAUAAGUGGGAAUCAAUAAGACCUUCACGCUAGUGAAUUGUUUAGAUAACAUUGAAAUACCACUCUUAUUAAAAUAAAUAACUAAUAUUUUUAUAAAUAGACAGUGUAUGGUUGGUAGUUUGACUGGGGCGGUCACCUCCUAAAGAGUAACGGAGGUGUACAAAGGUAAGCUCAAAUUGGAUUAUAUUAUCAAU